rnacentral:rRNA from 1 species
CAGCCGCCGCGGUAAUACGUAGGGUGCGAGCGUUAAUCGGGACUACUGGGCGUAAAGCGUGCGCAGGCGGUUUUGUAAGACAGGCGUGAAAUCCCCGGGCUCAACCUGGGAAUGGCGCUUGUGACUGCAAAGCUAGAGUGCGGCAGAGGGGGAUGGAAUUCCGCGUGUAGCAGUGAAAUGCGUAGAUAUGCGGAGGAACACCGAUGGCGAAGGCAUCCCCUGGGCCUGCACUGACGCUCAUGCACGAAAGCGUGGGGAGCAAACAGGAUUAGAUACCCGGGUAGUCCCUGUCUCUUAUACC